AACGAACGCUGGCGGCAUGCCUAACACAUGCAAGUCGAACGAGACCUUCGGGUCUAGUGGCGCACGGGUGCGUAACGCGAGGGAACCUGCCCUUAGGUUCGGAAUAACCCCCCGAAAGGGGUGCUAAUACCGGAUAAUGUCUUCGGACCAAAGAUUUAUCGCCUUUGGAUGGGCCCGCGUUGGAUUAGCUAGUUGGUAGGGUAAAAGCCUACCAAGGCGACGAUCCAUAGCUGGUCUGAGAGGAUGAUCAGGCACACUGGGACUGAGACACGGCCCAGACUCCUACGGGAGGCAGCAGUGGGGAAUAUUGGACAAUGGGCGAAAGCCUGAUCCAGCAAUGCCGCGUGAGUGAUGAAGGCCUUAGGGUUGUAAAGCUCUUUUACCCGGGAUGAUAAUGACAGUACCGGGAGAAUAAGCUCCGGCUAACUCCGUG
rnacentral:rRNA from 1 species